rnacentral:rRNA from 1 species
GAUGAGCCCGCGUCGGAUUAGCUAGUUGGUGAGGUAAAGGCUCACCAAGGCGACGAUCCGUAGCUGGUCUGAGAGGAUGAUCAGCCACACUGGGACUGAGACACGGCCCAGACUCCUACGGGAGGCAGCAGUGGGGAAUAUUGGACAAUGGGCGCAAGCCUGAUCCAGCAAUGCCGCGUGAGUGAUGAAGGCCUUAGGGUUGUAAAGCUCUUUUACCCGGGAAGAUAAUGACUGUACCGGGAGAAUAAGCCCCGGCUAACUCCGUGCCAGCAGCCGCGGUAAUACGGAGGGGGCUAGCGUUGUUCGGAAUUACUGGGCGUAAAGCGCACGUAGGCGGCUUUGUAAGUUAGAGGUGAAAGCCCGGGGCUCAACCCCGGAAUUGCCUUUAAGACUGCAUCGCUAGAAUUGUGGAGAGGUAAGUGGAAUUCCGAGUGUAGAGGUGAAAUUCGUAGAUAUUCGGAAG